AUUGAACGCUGGCGGCAUGCCUUACACAUGCAAGUCGAACGGCAGCACGGACUUCGGUCUGGUGGCGAGUGGCGAACGGGUGAGUAAUAUAUCGGAACAUACCUUGUAGUGGGGGAUAACUAUCCGAAAGGAUAGCUAAUACCGCAUACGCUCUAAGGAGGAAAGUGGGGGAUCUUAGGACCUCAUGCUAUAAGAGUGGCCGAUAUCUGAUUAGCUAGUUGGUGAGGUAAAGGCUCACCAAGGCGACGAUCAGUAGCUGGUCUGAGAGGACGACCAGCCACACUGGAACUGAGACACGGUCCAGAAUCCUACGGGAGGCAGCAGUGGGGAAUUUUGGACAAUGGGGGCAACCCUGAUCCAGCAAUGCCGCGUGAGUGAAGAAGGCCUUCGGGUUGUAAAGCUCUUUUGUCAGGGAAGAAACGGUUGUGGCUAAUAUCCAUGGCUAAUGACGGUACCUGAAGAAUAAGCACCGGCUAACUACGUGCCAGCCGCCGCAGAAA
rnacentral:rRNA from 1 species